AACGAACGCUGGCGGCAGGCCUAACACAUGCAAGUCGAGCGCGCCCUUCGGGGUGAGCGGCGGACGGGUGAGUAACGCGUGGGAACGUGCCCUUUUCUACGGAAUAGCCUCGGGAAACUGAGAGUAAUACCGUAUACGCCCUUUGGGGGAAAGAUUUAUCGGAAAAGGAUCGGCCCGCGUUGGAUUAGGUAGUUGGUGGGGUAAUGGCCUACCAAGCCGACGAUCCAUAGCUGGUUUGAGAGGAUGAUCAGCCACACUGGGACUGAGACACGGCCCAGACUCCUACGGGAGGCAGCAGUGGGGAAUCUUAGACAAUGGGGGCAACCCUGAUCUAGCCAUGCCGCGUGAGUGAUGAAGGCCUUAGGGUUGUAAAGCUCUUUAAGCUGGGAAGAUAAUGACGGUACCAGCAGAAGAAGCCCCGGCUAACUCCGUG
rnacentral:rRNA from 1 species